CACGGAAGUAGAUAGUGUUUAUAUUUUAAGUUUUGUGUUUUUUUCAGCUCGAUUUUACCGAUUUUACCGCAAUCCUGUGUGUAAUGGAAGUGUUGCUCAGUUUAUAAUUGUUCUUAGUGUACUGACAUCGCAAAAUUCUAAGAGCAUUUUGGUCACCAAACUAAAGGACUAAAUAAUCUUAUGUAUAUACAGUUUGUUUCUCCAUUGAACGUACAAUGUAAUAGUUUGCCUAUUUGAAAAAAAAAUUGCGAUGCGGUAUUACUGCACAGUGGAUUGGUAAACUGCUAGUGAUUCUUGAUGACGAUGGUUACAUUCAACUUAUUAGUAUUGACGGCAGAGUUAUCUGAUAUAUUUCCUAUUAGUAUAUUGGUGGUUUGCGUUGGGGCCAUGGUCUUCGUUCUGUUCAAAGCUGCCGUCUUAUCCCGCGUACUAACGGACAAUACUUUACGGCAUUCUAUUACAUCUAAUAAUGACAUACAAGUACCAAGGCUACAAAUGACUCGCGUUCAUAUACCAUUUACAUUUGGUUUAUUGGAGGCCAAAUCUAAUUCGUUUGAAGGGGUUCAAAUAGCUAUCUCUAGUCAAGUCAAGUAUACACUGCAGGCGUUUUGGGCGGUAUCCAUAAGAGAGCUUCAUAUGUCCUUAUGGCAAACCUGGAUGGAAUUGCAGGAUCGAACACAUUUAUCCACAAUAAUCAAUUUAAAACAUUGUCAACGAUUGGCAGCCAACAUGAGGUUUCGAGAGCCUCACAGUGAGAAUGUUGUCGUUUUAAAAUCAGUACCGUCCCUCGUAUUGGGAACUCCACCUCGAUUAGUAUAUCCUCUAGUUGUAUUUAUGAUUCGUGAACCACACAAAGAAGAGUUGCUACAUCCGGAUGAAACGGCUAUUCUUGUAAAUGUUAUCCAUAUUAGAGACUCUGUUUGUCCAGUACCGACUUCUGUGCUGGCUCAGUACCUGAAGCAAGUUGGCGGACAGUUAUCGUGUCUACAGCAACUUUAUUUGGCAUCUAGUGAUAUCAUUUCCACUGAAAUUAGAAAUUAUGAUCAAAUGACGCAAUCGUUGGCGGAAACCGCACCUUGCAUUUGCAAUGGAGAUCCACAAAUAUGCAAUUCAGUACCACAGGAUUAUCCAGGAACCGAACACCUGUGCGCAGUAUGUCAUUAUUUCCCUAUAUCUCGAGCAUUACUUCCAUGCCGACACACAUGCAUCUGUGGUGUCUGCUUCAAUAUUGUAUUUCAGGUAAAUUAGACCGCUGUCCAAUGUGUCGGUCAGUUAUCACCAACUUUUUCUGUACUAGAACAGAAGAAUAUAUUCCUGCUGAUGUGUCGGUGCCUAAGUUUACAUCCAAUUGUUAAAAAGCUUAUUCAAAACUUCGUGCGACGGGUUACAAGUUCGACAAUUGCCGCCGAUCUCGACAAUGUUGUUACAGUGUCGAUAAUGCUACUAUUUUAUUAUGGUUGGUGGAGAGUAACAAAGGUUUUCAUCCGAAAAUUUACCAAUAUGAAAAUGCAGAGUUUACUAUUCAAUCUAGGUUUCUUUGGGUUUUCUAUUGGAAGCUAGCAGAGACGUUCUAGGAGAGGAGGGGGAUGUACAAUGUACAUACUUGUGUGACGUAACAUGAAGAAUAAUUAAAAAUGAAAAAAGUAGGAGGCAGAGUUGCCAAUAAACUUUUUAUUUAAACUGCAAGAAUGCUAAAGCAAAAACUGGAAAAAAAUGGAUUUCAAAAAAAAUUAAUAAACAGCAUAAAAAAUGCAAGAGAGCUUCUCUGUGAUGGUUACUGAAUCCAAUGUUAGUUAUAAAUACAACAAAAAAUCAGUCAUUUCAA